AAACUUUGCCAACCUGAAGGAGUGAAACAGCAUCAAAGAAUAUUUCAGUGAAAAACCAACAACAACCUAUGAGAGAGAUGUGAACAAAUAUCAACUCACCUCAGAUAGGAAACCAAUGACAGACCAAAGUACAAGUUGGGAGGUUACUUAUAGCAGCAGAAAUGACACAGACACCUGCAUCACCAAAACCAUCACUAGCAUGGAGCCCUCAUCCAGUGGCUGAUGGAAGCAGAGGCAGACAUCCACAGAUACUCACUGAACUGAACUCUGGAACUUAGUUGCAGAGAGGGAGGAAUGAAGGGGGUUGGUACCAGGUUGGAGAAACCCACAGAAACAGUUGGCCUGAACAAGGGGG
rnacentral:lncRNA from 1 species